CAUCUUGAAGUUUCUGUGGUUUAAAUUUCAUAAUCCAGUUCGCUCUAUAUCAUUCCAGUUAAAUCAGUGAACAUCAAGCACAGUUUGCAUAAAAAAUAUUUUCCAGUAGCUUGUUUUUGUUUUCUUCAUCUACUCUAGUGCUUUUCUUUAGGUAUUCUUUUGUGUGCCUACUUUUUCAUUGAGUUCCUUAUUUUCUUGCUUGUCUUUUAUUCAUUAAUCUUUGAGUUUGUCAUACAUCUAGUUUUC
rnacentral:lncRNA from 1 species